AUUCUAUUGCAAUCCAUAAUAGGUCCACAACUUAAGGUAUGAACGUAUUGUGGCCCACUACAUGAUAUCGUUUAGCCUUCCCGGGCAUUGCCUAAACCUUGACCGGAAGAGCAGCCCUUCUCUCCGCACUGUUUGGCGCUUGAUUUCCGUCAACACUGAGCAGCGGGCGUGGAAAUGUUCCUCCACCAUAACUAUUAAUCACGCCAAGCGGACAUGGACCGCAUCCCACUCCCACAUCACAGCACCCUUUGUCUUCUCAAACUACAACUUGAGCCGUUUAAACUUUUAAAACCCGAACAGGAGGGAACAAUCUCUUAUCAGUUUACAUUUCAGACCACUUUAUGGAUGAUUGGGAGUGAGGAGGCUAUGAAUAUAUGAUUUAUGUUGGAUUAGAAUGAAGGGUUAAUCAGAUUUGAUUCGCAUUAAUUCAUUUUGUACUUUUUGUGAAGAGUUCGGCCAGAUUUGCAUACCACUCCACCAGCCCCGAGAGCACGUGCAUUGCAACACCGGAGAGCGUCUGGGGCUGAGCUGACUGUGGACGGAAAACAGACCCUUUCUCCCACGCCACCUUUCGCCACCGCGCCUGAACUUUUCCCUGACCCAAACCGAGGCGCGGAGAGUUGAGUGUGAACAUAUUUUGGUUGAAAAACAAGGAGUAGAUGGAGACUACAUAACCAAUAAGAGCUAUACCUUCCUUUUCAGCUGGGAACGUUUUGGAUCCUUGUUUUUAACGGGCUCUUGUUGGUUUCAGCAGUUGAUUAGCCUAUUUCUUGGUUUGUAUGUAUACAUAUAUUAAAAUUAGUAACAUAAAGCUGGUAACCUAAAUCCAACUUCCAACAUUUACCAGCCUUGAGCCGUAGACUUGAGCCGUAGAMAGUCCUCUCCACACCGCUCCGUCAUUGGAUGUUCGCCAGACUGCGGUGCAUCUCUCCACAAUGUUGACAUUUGAAGCUCUUAACAGCGAGCCUUGGGUUACCGAUACACUCAGCAGAAUAUAACUCUUUCUCUGAGGUUUACAUCGGCCAACAUCAAGGCUAAUGCGAAAUUCAACGCCCUAAACUGGUUUGGCGUGCAUGCUAAAACAGAGAAGCCUCGGUGGAUCUCGCUAUACUCUCCAUAACGGACUGACUUCUGUUGUGGUGGUUUGUUUCAGUAUGUGCUGUAGAAAUUAAAUUGUAGUGGUAAUAAUGUUGAA